UAUUAAAAAUUUCAUCAAUUUGUACUGUUAAAAACUGGCGUGGUUGAUAGAAUAAUCAGACAAUGACACGUGGCGUGCCACAUGUGUCUCAUGUUGACAUAAAAUAGUCAGUUUUUAACCGUAGAAAUUGGUGAGAUUUUUAACG
rfam:Gossypium arboreum cultivar AKA8401 contig_5764_3, whole genome shotgun sequence.